ensembl:lncRNA
UAUAUAUAUAUAUAUAUACAGACAGCAUCAGAAAAUAAUUUCCCCAAACCGUUAUGACACAAUUUUCCAGCAUCGCUGUGGGUUAAACAAUCCGUUAACGCUAAGAUUUCACUUUUUCAACCUUUUGGAGUGAUACUCUUAUGAGGAGGGCUGCAGGUAUUUGCUCAUUUCUAAACACAAACAGCAGAGAGAGAUGUUGUGAUAUCUGUAAAUGUCUGAUUUGAAUUGCAGUUCUCCUACGCAAUAUUCUAUUCAUGUGUUAACGAGGUCCGUUCUGCUUUUAUUUUGAAAAGCGCCGUUUUUCUUCUUAUGUUUUUGUGACGCUAACUUCCUGCUACUUAUCACUUGCAACGUGGAAGUCACGCAUCGUCGAAGCAAGGCUCCUAAUUAUGAGGGUGUGUCGAGAUGCUAGCAGGUGGAGGAAAUUCCUUUGAUUAGCGCCCUUGGAGAGCGGAUUGAGUUUUCACGGUGUUCAAGGUGUUCACGACGUCAUGGUGCUUAUGGUGCUCGUCGAGAGAAACGAAAUAAAUCAACACCCGUUUGAAACUCUCUGCGUCUUGAUCAAUCGAUCCGAGGGGCCGCUACAAUAUCUGUACCAGUGUCCAGCAGGGUUCAUUAGCUCCAAUUGCAUGUCUGUGUGUCUGGGAGUUUGAAACGUGUGUCUUCAUUUCUAUCUACAAUCGCAUGUAGAGUAGAAAUGCAAAUCUGUCUUUUUUAAAUAUGAUAUAUUACUAUUGCGUUGCUGUUGCCACAAAACACAGCAUCUAUAUCGUACACGGAAGCAUCCACACUGGACGUGUGCUAACGUGACACUUCGGGUUUUGGCAAAUGCAUGUUGUGUUGCAGAGGAGUUCUCACCAGCCCCAUCGGGACCCGUGAGUCAUGCGGAGAAGGCACCAGUCCCUCUGCCCCCAUACCACCUCCCACCCU